CCACUUCACACUAAAGCUCGACUACGGAUACUUUAAGAAUAGUGUCCAUAUGUUUAAUGUGUUCUCAUGAUUAAGUCACACUUAAUACAUUAAACGGACUAUCUAUUCCAGGGACUUUAUUAAUCAACCAUAAUAAAGAAAAAUCCUUUUAUUAUUAAUAAAUAAUUCGAUACAAGUACCAAAAGUAUUGGCCUCUAGGGCUUACACCAACA
rnacentral:lncRNA from 1 species